rnacentral:rRNA from 1 species
UACAGAGGGCUCAAGCGUUGUUCGGAUUCAUUGGGCGUAAAGGGUGCGUAGGUGGCGUGGUAAGUCAGGUGUGAAAUCUCGGGGCUCAACCCCGAAACUGCACUUGAUACUGCCUUGCUCGAGUACUGGAGAGGAGAUUGGAAUUUACGGUGUAGCAGUGAAAUGCGUAGAUAUCGUAAGGAAGACCAGUGGCGAAGGCGAAUCUCUGGACAGUUACUGACACUGAGGCACGAAGGCCAGGGGAGCAAACGGG